UACGAAGGGGGCUAGCGUUGCUCGGAAUCACUGGGCGUAAAGCGCACGUAGGCGGACUCUUAAGUCGGGGGUGAAAUCCUGGAGCUCAACUCCAGAACUGCCUUUGAUACUGGUGAGCUUGAGUCCGGAAGAGGUGAGUGGAACUGCGAGUGUAGAGGUGAAAUUCGUAGAUAUUCGCAAGAACACCAGUGGCGAAGGCGGCUCACUGGUCCGGUACUGACGCUGAGGUGCGAAAGCGUGGGGAGCAAACAGG
rnacentral:rRNA from 1 species